AGUUUUCACAUUAACUGACCCCGAAGUGGUCAUGUUAACUUAUAUUCAAGUUUGACACAGAGGAAGUUCGUUUAAAGCCUACAGGACAGAAUUCACAGGCAUCACGGAAACAAAUUAGAUUUGGCAAUUCCUCGAGGGGAGUUUUCAACAAGUUAAAUGGAAAUGCGGACGAUGACCGAUCAACAUUUCUGUUCUGCAAAGAGCAUUGACUCAAGAGCACAGUAUGUAUCAUUCUAUAGAUCUAUACAGAAAAUGCAUACUUUACUGCAUUGAACACAACUUUAUAUAUCUGUUGCAGUUAUCUGUAUAUAACAUUUCCUCUCUAUGUUCAGUUAUAUGUCGAUAUUUUUUAACAAGAUGAAUCGCAAAUAUGCUGAGAGCAAUGGCUGCGUUUUAGCCUGUUAAAGUAGGUUUUCAAAUAUCACUUAUGACCACUUCUUUGUUUAAAAGCGACAUUAUCUGAGAAGUGAUGACCUUUUGUCCAGCGAAAUCGUGAAAAUUUUUGCAAGCCUACAUUAGUGAAUAUGCCGGGGAAACGUGUAUUCAAGUAAUUGCAAAGACAACAAAUAUGAUUUUUGCGGCAUAGAAUUAUUGCGCGGUACCAAAACAUGUGAAAAAGUCUGGAUUCUGGUGGAAUGUAUGAGUAUACAUAUAAAUUUAACUUAAACAUAAAAUAUUAUUGAAAAAAUGGUAUUAUAUCCUA